CACGUAGGGUGCGAGCGUUGUCCGGAAUUAUUGGGCGUAAAGAGCUCGUAGGUGGUUUGUCGCGUUGUUCGUGAAAACUCACAGCUCAACUGUGGGCGUGCGGGCGAUACGGGCAGACUUGAGUACUGCAGGGGAGACUGGAAUUCCUGGUGUAGCGGUGAAAUGCGCAGAUAUCAGGAGGAACACCGGUGGCGAAGGCGGGUCUCUGGGCAGUAACUGACGCUGAGGAGCGAAAGCGUGGGGAGCGAACAGG
rnacentral:rRNA from 1 species